AGAGUUUGAUCCUGGCUCAGGAUGAACGCUGGCGGCGUGCUUAACACAUGCAAGUCGAACGAACCUUCGGGUUAGUGGCGGACGGGUGAGUAACGCGUGGGAAUCUGCCCUCAGGAGGGGGAUAACGGCUGGAAACGGCCGCUAAUACCCCAUAUGCCGAGAGGUGAAAUGAAUUUCGCCUGAGGAUGAGCCCGCGUCUGAUUAGCUAGUUGGUGAGGUAAGAGCUCACCAAGGCAUCGAUCAGUAGCUGGUCUGAGAGGAUGAUCAGCCACACUGGGACUGAGACACGGCCCAGACUCCUACGGGAGGCAGCAGUGGGGAAUUUUCCGCAAUGGGCGAAAGCCUGACGGAGCAACGCCGCGUGAGGGAUGAAGGCCUCUGGGCUGUAAACCUCUUUUCUCAAGGAAGAAGAUCUGACGGUACUUGAGGAAUAAGCCACGGCUAAUUCCGUGCCAGCAGCCGCGGUAAUACGGGAGUGGCAAGCGUUAUCCGGAAUUAUUGGGCGUAAAGCGUCCGCAGGCGGCCCUUCAAGUCUGCUGUUAAAAAGUGGAGCUUAACUCCAUCAUGGCAGUGGAAACUGUUGGGCUUGAGUGUGGUAGGGGCAGAGGGAAUUCCCGGUGUAGCGGUGAAAUGCGUAGAUAUCGGGAAGAACACCAGUGGCGAAGGCGCUCUGCUGGGCCAUAACUGACGCUCAUGGACGAAAGCCAGGGGAGCGAAAGGGAUUAGAUACCCCUGUAGUCCUGGCCGUAAACGAUGAACACUAGGUGUCGGGGGAAUCGACCCCCUCGGUGUCGUAGCCAACGCGUUAAGUGUUCCGCCUGGGGAGUACGCACGCAAGUGUGAAACUCAAAGGAAUUGACGGGGGCCCGCACAAGCGGUGGAGUAUGUGGUUUAAUUCGAUGCAACGCGAAGAACCUUACCAGGGUUUGACAUCCUGCGAACCUCUUGGAAACGAGAGGGUGCCUUCGGGAACGCAGUGACAGGUGGUGCAUGGCUGUCGUCAGCUCGUGUCGUGAGAUGUUGGGUUAAGUCCCGCAACGAGCGCAACCCACGUCUUUAGUUGCCAGCAUUUAGUUGGGCACUCUAGAGAGACCGCCGGUGAUAAACCGGAGGAAGGUGUGGAUGACGUCAAGUCAUCAUGCCCCUUACAUCCUGGGCUACACACGUACUACAAUGCUACGGACAAAGGGCAGCAAGUUCGCGAGGACAAGCAAAUCUCAUAAACCGUGGCUCAGUUCAGAUCGUAGGCUGCAACUCGCCUACGUGAAGGAGGAAUCGCUAGUAAUCGCAGGUCAGCAUACUGCGGUGAAUACGUUCCCGGGCCUUGUACACACCGCCCGUCACACCAUGGAAGUUGGCCACGCCCGAAGCCGUUACUCCAACCCUCGGGAGGAGGACGUCGAAGGUGGGGCUGAUGACUGGGGUGAAGUCGUAACAAGGUAACCGUA
rnacentral:rRNA from 1 species